AACUUUUGGCAAUGGAUCUCUUGGCUCUCGCAUCGAUGAAGAACGCAGCGAAAUGCGAUAAGUAAUGUGAAUGGCAGAAUUUAGUGAAUCAUCGAAUCUUUGAACGCACCUUGCGCUCCUUGGUGUUCCGAGGAGCAUGCCUGUUUGAGUGUCAUUAAAUUCUCAACCUUAUCAGUUUAUUUCUGAUAGUGGCUUGGAUGUGGGGGUUUUCUUGCUGGCUGAGGUCAGCUCCCCUUAAAUGCAUUAGCUGGUGCCCCGUGUGGACUGUCUAUUGGUGUGAUAAUUAUCUACGCCAUGGAUGUCUGCAAUCAUAAGGGUUUAGCACUGCUUCUAACCGUCUGUUAAUUCGGACAAUACAUGACAAUUUGACCUAAAAUCAGGUAGGACUACCCGCUGAACUUAAGCAUAUCAAUAAGCGGAGGAU
rnacentral:misc_RNA from 1 species